GCGAUGAGGGAAUCCCAAGUGCUUGCACGUAAGUGUAAGCUGUUUUUAUGUUUAAAAUGCAUAGAGAGUAAGGGCUGGGUAAGACGGGUGCCAGCCGCCGCGGUAAUACCUGCAGCUCAAGUGGUGAUCAUUAUUAUUGGGCCUAAAACGUUCGUAGCCGGUUUAGUAAAUGCCUGGGUAAAUCGUGUAGCUUAACUAUACGGAUUCCGGGUAGACUGCUAAACUUGAGACCGGGAGAGGCUAGAGGUACUCCUGGGGUAGAGGUGAAAUUCUGUAAUCCUAGGGGGACCACCAGUGGCGAAGGCGUCUAGCUAGAACGGGUCUGACGGUGAGGGACGAAGCCCUGGGGCGCAAACCGGAUUAGAUACCCGGGUAGUCCAGGGUGUAAACGCUGCUUGCUUGAUGUUAGUCGGGCUCCGAGCCCGAUUAGUGUCGGAGAGAAGUUGUUAAGCAAGCUGCCUGGAA
rnacentral:rRNA from 1 species